GAACUUUCACAAGCUAACAUUUUUUAUUGCAGCACUUGUUGCCUGUAUUUAUCUAACUAAGGCAAAUGAAAGUUUAAUUGAGGCGCGUAAGCCCGCAGCAACACUUAGGCCAUGUUUAAGAACAUGCAAUGAACACUACAAGUGUAAUCCAUAUUACAAGGAUAUAGUCUAUACCAUAGAGAAUGGCGUAUGCCGACUAAUCCAAAAUCCUUGCAUCUUUAGCAACAUCAAUUGUAAUCGCAGGAACCAAUGCCAGACACCCCUUGUACAAACUACUGAGAAAAUGUGCAAAGCGGCUUGUCCCGUUAUGUGUCCCAUGGGUGGCUCUGGGGUGUGCGCUCAUUUUUACUCUUAUACCAGUGAAGGUGAAAGAGUUGUGGAAGAAAAGAGUUUUGUAAAUCAAUGUAUUUUAAAUUCGUAUACCUGCGCUACUGGAACUGCAUAUCAUGAGGUGGUUGAUGGUUUCUGUUCUUAAAGCAACAAAUUUGAUUGGCAACUUGAUUAAAUACGAUAUGCAGC